UACGUAGGGUCCGAGCGUUGUCCGGAAUCAUUGGGCGUAAAGCGCGCGUAGGCGGCCCGGUAAGUCCGCUGUAAAAGUCAAAGGCUCAACCUUUGAAUGUCAGUGGAUACUGCCGGGCUAGAGUCCGGAAGAGGCGAGUGGAACUCCUGGUGUAGCGGUGGAAUGCGCAGAUAUCAGGAAGAACACCGCACGGACGGCAAGGCAGCUCGCUGGGACGGUACUGACGCUGAGACGCGAAAGCGUGGGGAGCGAACAGG
rnacentral:rRNA from 1 species